rnacentral:rRNA from 1 species
UACAGAGGUCUCAAGCGUUGUUCGGAUUCAUUGGGCGUAAAGGGUGCGUAGGUGGCGCUGUAAGUCGGGUGUGAAAUUUCGGAGCUUAACUCCGAAACUGCAUUCGAUACUGCGGUGCUUGAGGACUGGAGAGGAGACUGGAAUUCAUGGUGUAGCAGUGAAAUGCGUAGAGAUCAUGAGAAAGACCAGUGGCGAAGGCGGGUCUCUGGACAGUUCCUGACACUGAGGCACGAAGGCCAGGGGAGCAAACGGG